AACGAACGCUGGCGGCAGGCUUAACACAUGCAAGUCGAGCGGAGAUGAGGUGCUUGCACCUUAUCUUAGCGGCGGACGGGUGAGUAAUGCUUAGGAGUCUGCCUAUUAGUGGGGGACAACAUUCCGAAAGGAAUGCUAAUACCGCAUACGUCCUACGGGAGAAAGCAGGGGAUCUUCGGACCUUGCGCUAAUAGAUGAGCCUAAGUCGGAUUAGCUAGUUGGUGGGGUAAAGGCCUACCAAGGCGACGAUCUGUAGCGGGUCUGAGAGGAUGAUCCGCCACACUGGGACUGAGACACGGCCCAGACUCCUACGGGAGGCAGCAGUGGGGAAUAUUGGACAAUGGGGGGAACCCUGAUCCAGCCAUGCCGCGUGUGUGAAGAAGGCCUUAUGGUUGUAAAGCACUUUAAGCGAGGAGGAGGCUACUGAGACUAAUACUCUUGGAUAGUGGACGUUACUCGCAGAAUAAGCACCGGCUAACUCUGUGCCAGCAGCCGCCGUAACAC
rnacentral:rRNA from 1 species